UACGAAGGGGGCUAGCGUUGCUCGGAAUCACUGGGCGUAAAGCGCACGUAGGCGGCUUCUUAAGUCAGGGGUGAAAUCCUGGAGCUCAACUCCAGAACUGCCUUUGAUACUGGGGAGCUCGAGUCCGGAAGAGGUGAGUGGAACUGCGAGUGUAGAGGUGAAAUUCGUAGAUAUUCGCAAGAACACCAGUGGCGAAGGCGGCUCACUGGUCCGGUACUGACGCUGAGGUGCGAAAGCGUGGGGAGCAAACAGG
rnacentral:rRNA from 1 species